rnacentral:snoRNA from 1 species
GGAUCGAUGAUGACUCCACAAAUGCAUUCCUUGGAAAUCUAGAACAAAAUGAGUGAGCCAUCACUACCGUCUCCUCAUCGGAACUGAGGUCC